ACGGAGUAAUCUAUUACUGCCAUGGGUAGCUGCUGCACCUCAUCCUCUCGCUACUACACUUUAGCCCGUCUGCACAGUCUGGUUAUAUGGAUGUCGAAGUCCCCCUGAUGUAGUGCCCUUGGUCGCCUUUAGAAUGGACUCUUGAAUGCAGACGCCAAUAUCAAUGUCGCGACCAGUGACAAAAGAAAAUAGUAGGACCGCUCGCUCCUUGGUGACAUCGUUGUGGUGGCGAGUAGGCAUGAUAUUAGCACAGAUGAAACUGUACCAUAUCUUUCCUUAGGAACUGAGGGUAUGGUGAGGAAAGCUCGUCUUCUCCCCGGUGGAUUCAUUUGUCUUCCAUUCUGUGCCGGGUUUACAAAGCCACUUUAUGAUGUCAUCCAAGUCAUAACUGCUAAUCCCAUUCGUCAGGUACUCAUGUCGAGUCCCAUUUUCCGAGUAAUCAGAGCCCGAACGGUUAGGC
rnacentral:lncRNA from 1 species